CUUGUUUUUCGCAUCCCAACUCCCACUCCCAUCCUGAGUCUCCUUCUUCGCCAUUUUCCCAUACUUGCCAAAUCCACCCACCCCAGUUUCCUACACCACGUGAUAUACUCGAGAAGAAGGGUUUCUCUUUCCGUGAAAUCGUGGCCCGUCGUUCCCAAGAGUGACCCAGAAGCCGGCAUCUUCAUCUCCAUCUUGGGUUUCUGAGUGAAUGUUUUGGGCAUUCCAGUAUCGGCAGGAAUAAGAGACCAUCAAUUAGCUUGGUCUCUAUUUCAUGUGACGAAAGAAAAUUUCACGCUUGCCCAAGUCCGUUUUGUGACUUCUGGAUAGAGCUAUUCUGGUACCAAGAAGAAAACUUUCUACUAUUUUGAAAAUUUUUAUUUUAGUCCAAGAGUUCAUGUUUUUUCACUUAAUUACAUAUGUUUCAUGGAGUAACUGAACCUAUGCUUUAUAUUGGAAUGCUUUUCUGUAUGUUUGUUUGGCAUGUGGAAGAUCACUAUUUGUACAGGUGCCUUCGCCAUGGUAUGCUUUGGUUGACAUGUUGUUUCAUUUUUAUUAAGUGAUGUAAUUUGUUUAGAGACUGUUUGGUUGUUAUGGAAUUUAAAUGGUCUAUUCAUUGUGUU